GGAUGGAUGGGUGGGUGGAUGGAUGGGUGGGUGGGUGGAUGGAGUUGUGUUUUCCCUCCCAGUGAAUGUUGAACUUUUCAUGGCAGUCUAGUUGAUAACAGCACGACUGUAUGUGUUGAACGUGUAAACGACUAUGUGUUGAACGUGUAAAUGACUGUGUUGAACGUGUAAAUGACUAUGUGUUGAACGUGUAAAUGCUUUCAUCAAACAUUAGUCAAGCCAGUUGUUCUACUCUCAACCUUUUGUUUAAAACGGAUUUAAAAUGAGAUAAUAUAAUACAAUGAGUUUAAUAGUAUUUCAAAUACUAGAGGCUUCUAAUAAUGAGGUGUUGCAAGAGGCUUCUAAUAAUGAUGUGAUGCAAGAGGCUUCUAAUAAUGAUGUGAUUCAAGAGGCUUCUAAUAAUGAUGUGAUUCAAGAGGCUUCUAAUAAUGUGUUGCAAGAGGCUUCUAAUAAUGAUGUGUUGCCAGAGGCUUCUAAUAAUGAUGUGAUGCCAGAGGCUUCUAAUAAUGAUGUGAUGCCAGAGGCUUCUAAUAAUGAUGUGAUGCAAGAGGCUUCUAAUAAUGAUGUGAUGCAAGAGGCUUCUAAUAAUGAUGUGUUGCCAGAGGCUUCUAAUAAUGAUGUGUUGCCAGAGGCUUCUAAUAAUGAUGUGUUGCCAGAGGCUUCUAAUAAUGAUGUGAUGCAAGAGGCUUCUAAUAAUGAUGUGAUGCAAGAGGCUUCUAAUAAUGAUGUGAUGCAAGAGGCUUCUAAUAAUGAUGUGUUGCCAGAGGCUUCUAAUAAUGAUGUGUUGCCAGAGGCUUCUAAUAAUGAUGUGUUGCCAGAGGCUUCUAAUAAUGAUGUGUUGCAAGAGGCUUCUAAUAAUGAUGUGUUGCCAGAGGCUUCUAAUAAUGAUGUGUUGCAAGAGGCUUCUAAUAAUGAUGUGAUUCAAGAGGCUUCUAAUAAUGAUGUGAUGCCAGAGGCUUCUAAUAAUGAUAUACAGUGCAUUCGGAAAGUAUUCAGACCCCUUGAUGUUUUCCACAGUUUGUUACGUUACAGCAAUAUUCUAAAAUUGAUUAAUCUACACACAGUACCCCAUAAUGACAAAGCAAAUGUUAUUUGUG
rnacentral:lncRNA from 1 species